GAUGAACGCUGGCGGCGUGCCUAAUACAUGCAAGUCGAGCGAACGGACGAGAAGCUUGCUUCUCUGAUGUUAGCGGCGGACGGGUGAGUAACACGUGGAAAACCUACCUAUAAGACUGGGAUAACUUCGGGAAACCGGAGCUAAUACCGGAUAAUAUUUUGAACCGCAUGGUUCAAUAGUGAAAGACGGUCUUGCUGUCACUUAUAGAUGGAUCCGCGCUGCAUUAGCUAGUUGGUAAGGUAACGGCUUACCAAGGCAACGAUGCAUAGCCGACCUGAGAGGGUGAUCGGCCACACUGGAACUGAGACACGGUCCAGACUCCUACGGGAGGCAGCAGUAGGGAAUCUUCCGCAAUGGGCGAAAGCCUGACGGAGCAACGCCGCGUGAGUGAUGAAGGUCUUCGGAUCGUAAAACUCUGUUAUUAGGGAAGAACAUAUGUGUAAGUAACUGUGCACAUCUUGACGGUACCUAAUCAGAAAGCCACGGCUAACUACGUG
rnacentral:rRNA from 1 species